rnacentral:lncRNA from 1 species
GUACAUGUUUAGUCCGAACUGAAAUGAAGGUAAAUGAAGAUAAAAAAGGUAAAGUGACACAACCGGGAACAAUAGGUAAAGAUGACUAAACACCUAAUCUAUACUUGGACCGCCCUCCAAACCGGUUGCAGAAAUCCCGAGCUACCAUCUCCCAUGAGGUAGACCCUCUAACUAAAUGCUCCCUAGCAUUCGCAAGAGAGAGUAGCGACUAUGUAUGGAUCCAAUUAGUGGCCAUGUAGAUUACCUGCAAAAACUUAAUCUGGG